AUUCUUACAUGGGUUGGGCUGUCACAUUCUUCCCCUCUAAAAGAAAUUUCGUCCUCAAAAUUUUUCCUGCGUGAGUCUUCGUAUUUCUUUACUUGAAUCUCAUCCUCAAAUAUUUCAAAAUUCUAAUUCUUGAUACAAAUUUAUUCUUAAAUCAUUUCAUAAGGAAAAAGUUAAUACAUUAAUAUCGAUCUGAAACGGAACCAUUCAUUUUCUUAUUUAUCAAGAUCA
rnacentral:lncRNA from 1 species